CAAAAAUUAACCAUGGGCAGGUGA
rnacentral:rRNA from 1 species